rnacentral:rRNA from 1 species
UACGUAGGCAGCAAGCGUUGUCCGGAUUUACUGGGCGUAAAGGGCGUGCAGGCGGUCUGUUAAGUCUAGGGUGAAAGCUCCCGGCUCAACUGGGAGAGGUCCUUGGAUACUGGCGGACUUGAGGGAGGCAGAGGAAAGUGGAAUUCCCGGUGUAGUGGUGAUAUGCGUAGAUAUCGGGAGGAACACCAGUGGCGAAGGCGGCUUUCUGGGCCUUACCUGACGCUGAGACGCGAAAGCGUGGGGAGCGAACCGG